CAUUAUCAAAUGAAAUGCUAGGAGAAAAUAAGUUGGUAGCACUUCUCUUUUUCCAAAAGAGCUGGCAUGCUGGGCAGCAGUGCUCUUUUGGUUUUGCUUAGCUGCAGGAUAAAAUGAUCACCCAGUUAGUCACGGGCUCAUGGCUGGGUUAAAUGUAUUCAGAAGAAGAAGUCUCUGACCGCCACACACCUGUCGUCGACCAGCACAUCAGAUUUUAGAAGAAGAGAUUGGUGGUGUUAAAGGACAUUUUGGACCAAUCAAUGAAUUAGCAUUUAAUCCUGAUGGGAGGAGGUCUUGAAAGUAGCAUAUACAUCAAAUGUUUGUGGACAUCAUGCAUGGAUGAAAAUCUGGGAACAGUUAGUUUGUUGGCUAUGUCUUGUCAUAGCUGGGUGCUCGUGAUUCAAAAGAUUUAAAGGUGACCUCGUCAAAGCAUUGUUUAGCAAAAAGAACA